AAGGAAAGUCUGGGGUUUAAAUUUUAACCUGAGUUCCCCGGGGUUCCUAUGCGAUCCCUCGGGGGAAAAAAUCUUUUAUUAAAGACUUGGUUAGAUAUUAAUCAUAAUAAAAAUAUUUGGUGUGAACCAAGGCAAUUUUAAGAAAUAAACUAUUCCCGCAAAAGAUUGUUUCUAUCAUACAAGCUUUCUUGGGUAUUAAAUUAUAUUUAAUAUAGUAGAGUAAUAUAACCUAUGAAAACCAUAUAUAUUUAUAUAAAUAUAAAGAUAUAUUAACUAUAUAACAAAAUCCAGCUUAU
rnacentral:RNase_P_RNA from 1 species